rnacentral:rRNA from 1 species
UGCAAGUCCAACGAACCUUCGGGUUAGUGGCGGACGGGUGAGUAACGCGUGAGAAUCUGCCCUCAGGAGGGGGAUAACAGUUGGAAACGACUGCUAAUACCCCAUAUGCCGAGAGGUGAAACGAAUUUCGCCUGGGGAUGAGCUCGCGUCUGAUUAGCUUGUUGGUGGGGUAAUGGCCUACCAAGGCUUUGAUCAGUAGCUGGUCUGAGAGGACGAUCAGCCACACUGGGACUGAGACACGGCCCACACUCCUACGGGAGGCAGCAGUGGGGAAUUUUCCGCAGUGGGCGAAAGCCUGACGGAGCAACGCCGCGUGAGGGAUGAAGGCCUUUGGGCUGUAAACCUCUUUUCUCAAGGAAAAAGAUCUGACGGUACUUGAGGAAUAAGCCACGGCUAAUUCCGUGCCAGCAGCCGCGGUAAUACGGGAGUGGCAAGCGUUAUCCGGAAUUAUUGGGCGUAAAGCGUCCGCAGGCGGCCGUUUAAGUCUGUUGUUAAAUUGUGGAGCUCAACUCCAUCACGGCAAUGGAAACUGUUCGGCUUGAGUAUGGUAGGGGCAGAGGGAAUUUCCGGUGUAGCGGUGAUAUGCGUAGAUAUCGGGAAGAACACCAGUGGCGAAAGCGCUCUGCUGGGCCAUUACUGACGCUCAUGGACGAAAGCCAGGGGAGCGAAAUGGAUUAGAUACCCAUGUAGUCCUGGCCGUAAACGAUGAACACUAGAUGUUGGGGGAAUCGACCCCCUCAGUGUCGUAGCUAACGCGUUAAGUGUUCCGCCUGGGGAGUACGCACGCAAGUGUGAAACUCAAAGGAAUUGACGGGG